rnacentral:rRNA from 1 species
UACGUAGGGUGCGAGCGUUAAUCGGAAUUACUGGGCGUAAAGUGUGCGCAGGCGGCCGAGCAAGUCGGGUGUGAAAGCCCCGAGCUUAACUUGGGAAUUGCGCUCGAAACUACUUGGCUGGAGUGUGGCAGAGGAAGGUGGAAUUCCAGGUGUAGCGGUGAAAUGCGUAGAGAUCUGGAGGAACACCGAUGGCGAAGGCAGCCUUCUGGGCCAACACUGACGCUCAUGCACGAAAGCGUGGGGAGCAAACAGG